UGGAAGGUGGAGGAAGGAAGAAGCCCCAGCAUCUGUCUCCUUGUCUUCUUUGGAAAGUGACUGGGCUGUGUCUUCAAGUCCCCAGCCCCUCGGAAGUCCCAGCUUCUGCUGAGUGGUCCUGGCUCCCGGACUCGCAAUUGGCAGGAUUGAACCCUAGAGGUCCUGGAGACCGCCUCUGCCACCACGCAUGGAUAGCCUGCAUGAAAGUGACGUCAGCAUUACACCAAUCCCAAGCCGAGGAGCGGCGAAUAGAAAUCAGAUGAUCUUGCUCUCAGCCAGCCCCUGGAUCUAGCUGUGCCUGAUGUGUGCAUCCCGGAUUUCUUAUUUACGGAACUUUUUCAGUAAAGGAAAAAAGAAAGAGGUCCAGGAAAAGUGUCAGGGACUCUCACUGGACGGUCUGAAGUCGAUGGCCAUUUCUGAGGCCCACAGGCUGUAUCCUGCAGGGCGCCUCCUGGGAGACAGAAGGCACUCAACGGCUGUCAGCUCCCCAACUGGAUAAAACCCUUUGCCCUUUGCCCUUUUCCGCUCCCUCCAUCCUGGAGUCUGGUUCAUCUCCCAGAAACAAGCCCCACGUCGGGCUGUGUGCUUACUGUGCGGAGCCUGCUUGGGAUUCUCUCUCUUCCUCUCUUUGAC